rnacentral:lncRNA from 1 species
CAGAGGGUUGUUUUCUAUAGCUAUGCAUUGGACGGAGAACCUGCCUAUAUGUUCGACUGAGGAAGCAUGGGGGUCUUCCCCGUUGAACAAAGUGAAGUUUGGCACUUUGAAACCUGGAGACAAUGGUAUUUGAUCGAUGUAGGCUGGGUAUGGCUUUCUGUAAGUAGGCCUUUCCCCUCUUCUAGCCUCGGGUUCCAUGAUCUCUCUGACCAUUCUUCGUAAUGCCCCUACGUCAUUUAAAGCAUUG